ACGAACGCUGGCGGCGUGCUUAACACAUGCAAGUCGAGCGGAAAGGCUCCUUCGGGGGUACUCGAGCGGCGAACGGGUGAGUAACACGUGAGUAAUCUGCCCUUGGCUUUGGGAUAACUACCGGAAACGGUGGCUAAUACCGGAUACGACCACUCCUUGCAUGAGGUGGUGGUGGAAAGUUUUUCGGCCAGGGAUGUGCUCGCGGCCUAUCAGCUUGUUGGUGGGGUAAUGGCCUACCAAGGCUUCGACGGGUAGCCGGCCUGAGAGGGUGACCGGCCACACUGGGACUGAGACACGGCCCAGACUCCUACGGGAGGCAGCAGUGGGGAAUAUUGGACAAUGGGCGGAAGCCUGAUCCAGCAACGCCGCGUGAGGGAUGACGGCCUUCGGGUUGUAAACCUCUUUCAGUACCGACGAAGCGCCGAUGAUGGUGGUGACGGUAGGUACAGAAGAAGCACCGGCCAACUACGUG
rnacentral:rRNA from 1 species